GUAGGUACCGAGCGUUAUCCGGAUUUACUGGGCGUAAAGCGUGUUCAGGCGGUCUAGCAAGUCGGGCAUGAAAUCUCUGGGCUCAACCCGGAGGGGUUGUCCGAUACUGCUGGGCUUGAGGGCAGCAGAGGGUGGUGGAAUUCCGGGUGUAGUGGUGGAAUGCGUAGAUAUCCGGAGGAACACCAGUGGCGAAGGCGGCCACCUGGGCUGUACCUGACGCUCAAACACGAAAGCUAGGGGAGCGAACGGGAUUAGAAACCCCGGUAGUCCUAGCCGUAAACGAUGUUGACUAGGUGUCGACGGUCUAAACCCCGCCGGUGCCGGAGCUAACGCACGAAGUCAACCGCCUGGGGACUACGGCCGCAAGGUUA
rnacentral:rRNA from 1 species